CAUGCCCCUUGUCUAUACAAAUUUAUCUGCCGUAAACCGUCUGACAGAACGAUUUUCAGCAAAACAUCAGGAAAAUGGCCGCCAGCCGAUGUUUUCAACUAGACGAGUAUGAAAGGGAAUACAGUGUUAGAUAUCAUCGAGGAUAUGUGACCAAAGGGUUUCAGAAGUCUUGAGAGAUGUAUGUAGAUCAAACCCAUCAAGUAAGCCAACACCAUGUCUACAAGGUCAUACCUCUAGAACCUCUCACACCUCUACAGCUGAGGACAAAUCUGAAAGUGGACAGAGGGAUAGUAUGAAUGCUUCAGUGAAAUUAAGGAGCUCAGGUUCUAACAAGCGUAGUAGAGCAGUGCAACACAGAGGUACUCCAAUGUGCAAUUUUACAAGUUUUUCCAGACAGUGAUUACAGCGAGGCUUGAAGACUACUGUACACAAUUUCUUAACAAAUCCAAAAACAAAGCCGUGUAACAUUCAACUAAGUGAUUCAAAGAAAACCAAACUACAAACAAGAAAGGGUCGAUUGAAUGGAGUGACAUUUUUACCCUGAAGGGUCCUAUUAAGAUAAAGAGAAUCUAGUCGUUUGUGCCACGGCACAAAAUUAUCAGACACAUAAGUAACAUUCAAGUAGUUAUGCAUUUACAUGGAGGAUAUGACAUUAUUGUAUUUUCAUAUUGAAUUUAUCAUAUAAGUUGCCAGUUGAUCGAACCACACACUUAAUUGCCAACAUGGUUGGAAGGGUCUUAUUGUCCAAGCUGCAAAGAGUGUAUACCCUUAUAAACUAGCUGGCACAGUUGUGUGUCAGUUGAUAUCAGUCUGUGCUGGUUGCAAAUUAAAUCCAAUACUUUCAUAGAAUUAUAUGUUUUUAUUUAAUGUUUAUAGCAUCAAUAAAUUGAUAAUCUGAAAACAUAUUGCAAGUCAGGUUUUCAAGUAAAAUCCUAAUUAACUUUUAGAACAUUUUGCAUAAAGUAAGGUGAUAUCUCUAAGUUGUCAAAGAAAAGCUUUUGCAGCUCUUUAUAAUUAAACAUGGCAUGGCACUUGUAUCUAUAGCUUUGUUCACCAUCCAAGUUAUACAUGUACUCAAAUUUUGUGACGUUUUUUAAUAUAUUUUUCCCCAUAUUCCUAGUACAGUAAUUUGUUACAUUUCUCUUUCCUCUAUCAUUCUUAGUUUUUGUAUUUAAUAUUUUCCAAGUGAUUAAUAAAAACAAUAAAAUUUCACAAUUAUUUAUAAUAUUUUAUUUACUUGUGUAUUUCAUGCAAUGAGGCUAAAAAUGUAAAAAAAGUAAUUUUUGAAGAAUUUUUUUUUUUUAAGUUAGACCAGUGUUGCUUCAGCCAUCAAUAUGUUAACUUGUCAUGUAGUAUGUACACAAACAUACUGGGAGAAGAAACAGAUGUUUGGCUUAAUGAAAGUACAAAAUGUUUUUGCUUAUCGUUUUCCAAUGAGAAGUUACAAUGUACAAGGUUAAAUUACUUUUUUGGAUGAUGUUCUUUUCUGUGGAAAGACCAGGUGUUGCUUCACAAUUGUUUUUUUUUUUCCUCAUUAAUAUCAUUAAAUGUAAUUUCAAUUUUUGGCUUUGCGCUUGAUAUAUUGAUGUCCUGUGUGAGCAUCUAUUAGCAAUACAUGUAUCAAUGAGUGUCAUGAGUUACUUUUAAGACCAUAAAGUACAAAAUAAAACUAUAUUACAGCU